ensembl:lncRNA
CACCCGGGGGACCGGGUCCCGCCGGCCCCGCCCGCCGAGACGGACGGGGACCGGGGCGGGGGACCCCCGGGCCACCUUCCCCGCCGGGGCCUUCCCAGCCGUCCCGGAGCCGGUCGCGGCGCACCGCCGCGGUGGAAGUGCGCCCGGCGGCGGCCGGUCGCCGGCCGGGGGGCGGGCCCCCGCAGAACGCGCCGCACCUCCCCGGGCGGCGGCGCCGAGGGCGACCGGCCGCCGCCGGGCGGACGGGCUCGCUCCGCCGGGACGCACCCCGGGACCGGGGCCGCGGGGCGAGGCGCGCGCGAGGGCGGCGCGGAGCGGCGGGGCGGAAGGGGCGCGGCGACCGCCGACCGCGGCCCGACGGGUGAGGGGGGCGCGGGCCGCACCCCGCGUACCGCGGCGGCGGCGGCGGGCGGGGAAGGACGCGGGCCGCGGGGACCGGCCGGCGCCGAUCGCGCCGCAGGGCGCUCGCCGCCGGUCGACGGGGACGACUCGCCACGCGCGGCGGGGAGGGGGGCGGGGGUCGGGGGAGGAGCGGGGCCGAAACCCCGCCCUCCUCCCGGGCGCCCCCUCCCGAACGACCCCGCACGCGCGAGGCGGGCACGACGCCACGCCGGCCGGCGACGACGACGACUCCCGCGACGGACGGGCCGGAGGACCCGGGUCCGCGCCGACCCCGCCCCCCACGCGCGCGCGGCGGGACGGGGAGGGCCUCGCCACACUCGACUCACCGACGGGCCGGGGGCGGGACGGGGCGCCCCGACUUCCCGCGGGCACCUAACGCCGCCGCCGGCGGGGCGGCGGGGCGGAGGACCCGGGCCGCCGCCGCGGUCCCCACCACGGCGGGCGACACGCGACGAGCGGGAAAGCGAGCCCCCGGGAUCGGAGAAGCCGGGCGGAGGGAGAAAACUCGAGACGGGCGGCACGCGAACGUGGCGGACGGCCAACCCCCGGCGCGGGGAGGCGGCGUCACAAGGGCCGCGGGGACGCGGCACCGGUCACCCGCGAGGUCGCCGGGGAAACGACCGCCUCGGGGAGCCCGGCCUUCCGCCCGGUCCGGGACCCACGCACGGGAAUCUCACCGCCAGCGCCCCCGCGGCGCAUCGGCGGUCCCGCGCGCGAGCCCCCACCCGGGACGGACCGACCCGGACCCGCCGUCGGCGACGGACCCACGGCGACGCCUCGUCGAGGCCGAGCCCGCGUCCUCGCCGAGCCGGUCGCGGCUCCACCCCCGCACACGUCACCGACCGUCUCACGGCGACCGGUCGCCCGGGCGCACGGCGAGGAUCGGCGACGGCGAGGGCGGACGGGAGCCCCACCCCGGACGGGGAAGCGGACGGGGAGAGACCCGCGGAGCGCACGGCCCGGGGCCGCCGGGGAAACCAGGCGGGAUCCCACCGCCCCCCCACGGGGGCGGUCCCGCCAUCGCCCGCGACGCCCGGAAGCCGGAGCCCGGCGGAGUCCGAAGAGCACCCCCCACGGGAGGAGUCACCUCCUCCCGCGAGGAGAGAACGCCCGCGUCCACCAGCCCCGUCGACGGGGACUCCCACGCGCGACUCCGCCGACGUCCGCACGCCGGGGAGGACGACCGCCUCGGCGGCCUCGCUCGAGAGAACCCCACACGCGUACGGCCCCCUUCCUCCGGGGGACGGGCACCCACCGUCGCGGCGCCCGGCGCGAGGGGCGCGACGGGCCACCCGGGCCCACGCCGGCGCCGGCACACCGCCGUCGGCGCCAACGGCCGGCGACACGGGACGGGAGCGGGCGGAGAGCCCCUCGCGGCGGCGGCGGCGGCAGCAGCGGCGGCGGCGACGGCGACGGGAGGGUGAGGGGAGGGGCGGGACCGACCGGGACGUCCGCCACACCACCGACCCCCAACACACCCCCCCACCGGACACACCACGCGCCAGCGGAGCGAGACCUCGGCGCACGCUCGCGGGCAGGCCCCCGAGAGAGCCGGACACCGGCCGGGACCCCCCGCGGGACCCUCCCCCAGCUCGGAGGGGGGAGGCGCGGGCACGCAUCGGAUCGGGACAGACGCGUCGGACGGCUGACUUUCGCGCAGCGAGAACGUAGGCGGGCGGGCAGACGCGGGGGGGAGGCGGGCACCUCCCCACCUCUUCGCAAAGCACGCCCCGCUCGGAUCGCUAGAGAAGAAACUUUGCUCACUGAGGGUGGACCGAACCCGGCCCACCGGCCCCCGUCGGUCCGCAGAGGCGGGAUCCGUCCGCGGGAGUGGCCAGGCGAGGGGGGGUCUGCGGUAUAGGUAAGCACGGGGCACACGUCGAGCACUCGCGGUCAGAGGCCGGGGCGACCUCACGUUAUCUUCCGCUCAGUCCGCCGGGUGGCACGGCAGAACGGCCCACGGCCCGCCACGAUCGCUCGACACGCCCGCGCGCGGCCAACCGGGAGAGGCGGCGCGCGGGCGUGCGCCCGCCCCAAGGACCGAGUCGCACCCGCGACACGGCCGUCAAGAAGCGGCAGGCGGCCUUCGCCGCCGCCGCCCUCUCUCUCACCGCCUCGACCCCCCUUUUCUCUGGCCGAUGGCCUCGAGAAGCCCGCCAACGCGGACGGGGCAGCCCCGCCACAGCGGCGACCGGAGCAGAGACACCGGGGACACGGGAACGGCACCACCGCUCAGCCUCGGGCACCUCGAGUCGACCCGGAGCGCUCCAGGAGCACCGCGAAGGGCCGACGACGCACGGAACGCGGCUCGCGCGCCCGAGGAGGACGCGCGGCACGGCGGGGGAAACGCGGGCCCCUGCCCCACCGCGGGGAGGGGCCGACCCACCGCCAAGGCACCAGGGCGCGGGAGGGGUGAUCCCCUCUCCCGCACGUCUGGGUCCCCGACCACGAGGAGAGGGCGGGGAAGGCGAAGGUCAGGCCGGAUACCGCACCCCUGCCUUCCGCACACCACCGGCAGGUGGGGCGGAGAAGCGAGGGGCCCGCUGGCAGCACGAGAAGAGCGGUCCCAUUCGCAGUGAAUGUCCGUCCCUCGCCUGGCGCGGCUUAGGCCCGGCCCGGGGAGAGCACCACGUCACCACAUCGAUCGCGAGAAGGGAGGCGAAAACGGCCA